AAUGAAUGAUGACAACGUGUUUCGGUCCCAUAUGAGAAAGUGAUUAAUUUUUCCCAAUGCUGACAUU